rnacentral:rRNA from 1 species
UACGUAGGGGGCGAGCGUUGUCCGGAGUUACUGGGCGUAAAGCGCACGCAGGCGGUCUGCUAAGUUUGGAGUGACAGUUGGUGGCUUAACUGCCAAAGUGCUUCGAAAACUGACAGACUUGAGGGCUUCAGAGGGACACGGAAUUCCGGGUGGAGUGGUGAAAUGCGUAGAGAUCCGGAGGAACACCAAAGGCGAAGGCAGUGUCCUGGGGAGUACCUGACGCUCAGGUGCGAAAGCCAGGGGAGCGA